GCCCACCUCUCCGCCAUGAGAUCGUCGAGAGAUCGAGUCGAUCCGGUUCGCGGCCCGCGGCAUCCGACACCCGACAUGUGAUCGAUCCACGCGUGCAUCCGGUUCGUGCAUCCAAUCCUUUUUUCGAUCAUAUCCCAUUCGAUCGUUCGAAUGGGGAGGAGAGAAACUCGUGGAGAGUCGGUGGUUGGGUGACAACAUUUCGGUGCACGCAACCACCUGUGUUGGUUGCAAGCUCGGAUUACUUUUCGUAGGAUAAUUGUGUUGUGCGGUGUUAAGCGGAGAGAAACCGUGUUUUCCACGAUGCACUCGUAACAUCUCGAUCCCGGAUUCUCACCAGUGUACCAAGUUUCCGGCGGAAGUGUGAAACAUCGUGUCGUGUUUCGUUUAAACGUGCGCCGAGCAAACAUGAUUUUGAAAUUGAUGGGGCGACAGCGAUCGUGUGCCAAGAUGGACGAAUUGAUUUCGAUUGAACCGGAAAUCGUGUUGCCAUUUUAGCGACGAGAAGGCAUCCGGAACAAUCCAUCCAUCGAGACAUCUGGACGUCGUUCAAGGAGUGCGCACAACGAUACGAUUCUCUUUCUUCCCGAAGUUAUUCCGAGCAUGACGAGAUCCGUGCCCGGAUCGUUUCGAGCCCAACCCAUCGUCGAAAGAUGACUCUCGCGAGGAGGGAUCAUAGAAUCAUCGUGCCUCGACGAUUUUCAAUAUCCUCCAAGCGUCCGUGGAAUCGACAGCAAUUAUCAGGGAUUAACUUCGAGGAUAUAUAACAUCGAGGAAUAAUCUUGGAGAUAGGAGGAGGAGGAGGUGGAGGAGGGAAGCUCGAGAGAGCGGCGGCGGUGGAGCACAGAGCGGGUGGAUCAAAAGGAAUUCCGGAUCAUCGAGACGGCGAGAGAGGAUCAAUGAGAUGCUAGGUCCGCUGUGAAAAUGCUGGUCGACGAUUGCGGCAGCACGAUGGGGUGGACUUCGGCCAGCGUGCGCGGGGGUUGGUCCACCCCUGGCGGGUGUAGGAAUUCCGGGAUCAACUUCGGCGGCAGCGUGCCCUCCCUUCACCCUGCAGGCUCGAUAAGGUCCCUGCGAUCCCAGCAUUCUAUGCAGGGUAUGCCGGAGACACCGCGAAGAUGCAUGCACUGCCAUCCAAUACACGUGCCGAGCACCCCGAGCAAUUACGUUCAUCACCCCAUGCAGUAUUACACGCCGAGUCACUGCCCUGAGCCAAGGAAUGGCGUGUACACUCCUCAUCGGGGCAAUUCUUAUCACGGUGAUACUCGAAUGCGUUAUAUGGACACGGAGGGGAGUAUGCACGAUGGCAUGAUGGGGAAUAACAAUUGGGUGCUCGGUGAUCUGAGAAGCCUUCAUCGUUGCGUGCCAACUUUUCGUCGUCCAGGCAUAGACGGUAUGCGAACGCAUUUCUAUCCAGAGGGUGGCUGGGGGUGGUUGGUCUGCGCAGCUGGGUUCCUCGCCCUGUUGCUCACUACCGGAAUGCAGCUCGCUUUCGGGCUUCUUCACGUUCACGCCGUGAGACGAUUCGGCGAGGAACAUCUCAUGGAUCUUGCGUGGGUGGGCGCUUUGAGCGCUGCCGUCUCGCGUGGAUCGGCACCCUUGGUAGUUGGCGCGUGUCGUCGAGGAAGUACAAGGCUUACAGCGGUGAUCGGGGGUCUCGUGCUGGCAUUGGCCUCCCUCUUCACCUCUUUCGCCGCAGAAUUGCACCAGGUACUCCUUAGCUACGGCGUGGUGUUGGGCACCGGGGCUGGCCUCGUGAGAGAAACUGCCGGUCUGGUGCUGGGCCAUUACUUCAGAAAACGGCGAGAGUUCGUCGAGAUGGUCGUGCAAGCUGGCACGGGGGUGGGGAUCGUGCUCUUCAGCGUCUUCUACAGGGAGGCAGUCGGAAAGCUGGGCUGGGAGCGUGGGAUGCAGUCGGUAACCGGAGCCCUCUCCUUGGCCUUCUUCCUGGGUUUGAUUUAUAAGAGCGCCUCUCUUUAUCAUCCGCAACGGCGGGCAAUGUUACACGUGAAAAAUCAACGAGGUGGGAAGUUGAAGGAGAAGAAGACCCCGUCGAAGCCGCCAAGGCAGCCGUGGGUGGAUCUCAGCCCUCUUGGAAGUCGCCCUGUCAGGAUGUUGAUGCUGGCUGCCGGGGCAGCCGGUUUCGGUCUUUAUACGCCCGCCUUUUACAUCGCUAUCCAGGGCCACAAAGACGGUUUGGAGGCUAGUGCGGUCGUGCUCCUGCAAACUUGCCUAGGCUUGGCAGCGGCUCUCGGUUGCGCGGCUUGGGGAGUCGUUACCGCCAGACCAUCUGCCCAAUGCCUGGUGUCCAGACAAUAUCUCUGCCAGGCGGCUCUUCUCGGAGUUGCUAUAGCUCAAGUGGCAUUGGGCAGCGUGCAAGGCUACCACGGGUUGGUAUUGGCUUCCGGUUUGUACGGUGCGUCUCUCGGUGGAGCCCUUUACUCCUUAAAAAUGUUAGCCCUCGAAAGACUAAGAGCCAGACACUUCGCACGCUCCUGGGCACUUGUGCAGGCUGCAGAAGCUUUACCUAUUCUUCUCGGAGUUCCUCUUACUGGUUACAUGAACGCGAACAGCUCGAGGGUGGGUUACUACGCGUGCACGUUAAGUUCCUUGUGUGGUGCAGCGUUACUCUUCCUGGUGGGUUGGGGUCGCCAACCGGCGUCUCCUCUUCUUCCUGGCUCGUCGCACCUCUCAAAUAUGAGCAUACCUCCGCCGUGUGCCUGUCCUCCACCGCCAAGACCGAGGUUGCCCAAGUCCCAGUCGUUACACGUGCCCCUCGACGAAGAGCAUUUCCGCGAGAGGGAGAUGGAGAGGAUGCACACUGCCGAACACUAUUAUCAACCGCAAUUCUACGGGCCUUUGAGACCCAGCAAGAGCGUGCCCGAGGGUUUGAGUCAUCAGGACUCGUACAGAAGUCGGCCGAGACGGUACAGGGACGUAACUGUGAUCGAACAGAUCACCACUAGCGUUUAAUAAAUAGAGAAGAAAGGGUAAAGAGCAAAGGAAUGAAUUUGAUGGAGUAAUGUUGAGAUGGACAAUGAUAAUAGACAAGCUUGGAGCUGUGAUGGAAACAUUGGGAUUUUUGAGAAGUUGUGUUUUAUUGUUGAUGUUUUAUAUUAGGCCUGGCCAACUCUUUGGAUAGUCAUAAGAAUUUUUUAAUUUAUUUUAAAAGUGUAGAAUACAAAAUUGAGUAUCUUUUAAAAUCUUAGAUUUUAUGGAAUGUAUAAUAAUUCCAAAAAUUUGAUCGAUAGUGCGAAUAAUGAAAUGAAUUUUUAAAAGUUUAACAAUUGUGGAUAAAAUAACUAGACUAUGUAUAUUUGUACAAAUUUAUAUUUUUAAAAAAUGCAAGAAAUUUCUUUUGUUCAUUUCAUUUGCAAACCAGUGGAACAAUUUGAGUUAGCUAGGCCUGUUUUAGAUGAACAAGUCCGACUAAAAAACGAUAUUGUCAAGAACGUGAUUGUCGCAGAAUCUUUGAUCAUUAUUUAUGUGAAUCCGUACGUUUCUUGGAUCCUUGAUGGAAUGGGAAUAAGAAGAGGAUUCGCAAUAGCUUGCCUUGAAGAUUGUAAUCUGAGACAAUGAGAGACUUUACGGUGAAAAAGGAUCUUUACGACCGCGGUAAAUCCGGGAUUGUACCAUUUUUAAGAUUCAAGUAUUGCUGUAGGAAGUACACCUAUACGUUUUUCUUUCUCUAAAUUUUUGAUAUCUUUUUGGCUUCCAGUGAAUAAUCGUAUAAAAUUUCACUAUGUUUUGUAAAUCUUUUGAUGUUUUUAAGACUGCUGUAUAAUAACAUGGAUUUUAUUUAAUUUAUAAUAAUUUUUGAAAAAUUUUUGUUUUAUUUUAUUAUGAUUAAAAGGUAGGAUAUUUUUAUAUAAUUUUUUUAUUUUGAUUUUUGAAUGUAAAAAUCUAAAAAUUUUCAUUUUCAGCAUAUGAACCUGUUCAACUUUCUCUUACUUAUUCUUUGAACUGUCGUUUUUUUGUUGCGAAAUCUUGCGAAAUCUUCUUCAUUCAUGGUGGAAAACAAAAGUCAGAUUGCGCUCAAGUUUAGAAACGCCAGGAAAUGUCACGUAAACCAUUUUCCCCAUUCUUUUGUUCUCCAAUUCAUCCUGCAUUCGAAUCCUGUGCCUGAAAACAAACGUAUCAAAUGAUUCCCAAAUAUUCAAUAUAUAGGGUGAGUCGCCUGAUUAUUUUCAU